rnacentral:piRNA from 1 species
UGAGAUAAUUGUUGUUCCUUCCUCACAGA